rnacentral:misc_RNA from 1 species
AAAAAAAAGGGAAAACCACCCUCAGUUUCACCCUAGUCAUGCCCAGCAUCUACUUCAACACUGCCAAUUUGAUGUCCAUAAAAGUUGCCCCCUCCACGUCUCGAGUGACUUUGGCCCCGCUCUCUAUACCUUGUACUGGAAUUACGAGAACCAUCUUUUGAUUCCAAGUUCUCUUUGCUAUUGUUGUGGGGCGCAACUGGAUGGUACUCAUAAUGUGAAUUAUCUCUGUGUCUUUCCCGGACUGCAUGUACCUUAUGUUGUCUGUUAUCUUUACCGGAACCACUCCAAUCUCCACGAGAUUCAUGGUCUCUACCAAAACGGCUAUUUUGAUUUCCAUAUUUGCGGAAACCUGAAGACAUGUGUUGGUCAUGCCUAACAUCCAUAUUAGAAGAUGAUGAUUCAAUAGGGCUACCAGGACGUCCUCUGUGUGCGGCCAUCUUCAUUUCCCUCUUAGGCUCUUGUCGCCCAACACCUGGAGCUUCUACAAAAUUGUUAUUUUCAGGGAGGGACUGAUCAUGGUGAGACUGAGGCCUAACUGCAGCA